GGCUCCCUUUUCUUGGCUUGUCUCCUGACUAUUCUUAGUGUGCUUAACCCGGCCAUUCUAAGGACCGGUACUGCACCCUUUACUUUCUGUGACCUGUUAGCGUGUUAGAUUCCCGAAUCGUGACAGUCAAUGGAAAAUAUGAAGCCUCCUGUCAUGUGGUAAAAUUAUAUAUCUCUCUAUCUGUAAACAUCCCUUUGAUCAUUAAGAGAAGGUGGGAGUCUGGGAGAGGAAAUGUAUAGAGG